rnacentral:lncRNA from 1 species
UUUUAUAACCCAAUCGAAAUUGUCUUGAAUAAAAUAGUUUUACAACCAAAUCAGAAAUUGUCUUGAAUAAAGAUAAUUAACCAGUACAUCUAUUGGUUUCCAAUGUGAUCCCACAUGUGCUCAACCAAGUCAUUUUGAAGCUGCAAAUAAGUGUUCCAAUCACGGAUUUCACGAUGGAAUAGGGUAAACUGCUCAAACGUGGCCGGUUCUUGGUGCAGGGGGCUCACCAUUGUUACCUUGAAAAUCAAAUCCUUGGUCGAAAAUGGAGUCAUCACGCUCGUCCUCGACGAUCAUGUUGUGCAUGAUCACACAAGCAAUCAUCACC